UUACACUGUAUUUUAACUUAUGAGUAAUCAUAUACUUAAUGAAAAACUUAAUCUAUCAUGAAGAACAAAGUAAUAAGAGGACGAUAUUUUCUUUCAAGCAGCUGUGUGACCUUGGAUUAUCUGUGGAACUUCAUUGUGCUUCAGUUUUGUCACCACUCAAAUGGAUAAUAUGACUAAUUGUCUUUACAUCUCAAGAGACUACUGUGAGUGUAAAGACGAUUACUGAUGAUCAACAGCAAUGAAAAGUUACAUGACUGUGAAAAGGUCAUCCUUUCGUUUUGGACCGGGCAACUCUACUGUAGACUGGGAUAUAACUAUGGACAAGGUCAGGCAGCAUCUCUUAAAUUCACUGAAGGAAAAGGUGGGAAAUUAUGAUGUAGGUACAGUGUUGGAAAAAACAUCACUCCCUGGCAGUGUAAUAAGGUUGAAUUGCAAAGCACGUAUUGGAAACUGUGGAAGAUAAAUUUAGAAAUGUUAAUGUUGGACUAGAUUGUGAAAGACCUUGUAUACCUUGCAAUACUUUUGGAACCUUGUCCUUAUGACAAGAGAAACCCUAAGAAAAAUAACCAGCUUCUAGAGAAUGUUUUGUAUGGGAUGAUAACUGAAUCUUCCCUGUGUCCCAGCCCUCGGGAGCAAACAAAUUUCUUUAGUUUGGUUUAAGGCAGGCUUUACCUUAAGAUAACAGUUUAAUGCAUUUACUCAAAAUGAAAAUUAUACAGUGAGAUUAAACUAAAAAAAAC
rnacentral:lncRNA from 1 species